rnacentral:tRNA from 1 species
GUUCUCUUAGCUCAACGGAUAGAGCAGCAGCCUUCUAAGCUGCGGAUGAUGGUUCGAUUCCAUCAGGGGACACCA